rnacentral:tRNA from 1 species
AGAAAUAUAGUUAUAAAAAAUAUUUUGCUUACAUCAAAAAGUUCUAGACUACUAGUAUUUCUA